AGUAACACAUCGGAACGUGCCCAGUCGUGGGGGAUAACGUAGCGAAAGCUACGCUAAUACCGCAUACGAACUCUGGUUGAAAGCGGGGGAUCGCAAGACCUCGCGCGAUUGGAGCGGCCGAUGGCAGAUUAGGUAGUUGGUGGGGUAAAGGCUCACCAAGCCGACGAUCUGUAGCUGGUCUGAGAGGACGACCAGCCACACUGGGACUGAGACACGGCCCAG
rnacentral:rRNA from 1 species